GAUGAACGCUGGCGGCGUGCCUAAUACAUGCCAGUCGAGCGAACGGACGAGAAGCUUGCUUCUCUGAUGUUAGCGGCGGACGGGUGAGUAACACGUGGAUAACCUACCUAUAAGACUGGGAUAACUUCGGGAAACCGGAGCUAAUACCGGAUAAUAUUUUGAACCGCAUGGUUCAAAAGUGAAAGACGGUCUUGCUGUCACUUAUAGAUGGAUCCGCGCUGCAUUAGCUAGUUGGUAAGGUAACGGCUUACCAAGGCAACGAUGCAUAGCCGACCUGAGAGGGUGAUCGCCCACACUGGAACUGAGACACGGUCCAGACUCCUUCGGGAGGCAGCAGUAGGGAAUCUUCCGCAAUGGGCGAAAGCCUGACGGAGCAUCGCCGCGUGAGUGAUGAAGGUCUUCGGAUCGUAAAACUCUGUUAUUAGGGAAGAACAUAUGUGUAAGUAACUGUGCACAUCUUGACGUUACCUAAUCAGAAAGCCACGGCUAACUACGUG
rnacentral:rRNA from 1 species